AUGAGAGGCUCCAGGACCUAUGGUCGUUUCAGUUGUAGUGUUGUUGAUUCAUCUUGGCUUGACCUUCUGCCCGAAGACGACGGCGACGGCGACGGCACGGACCACCGCGUCCUUCAGUGGCUGCUGCUCCUCGCGUUCACCAGCACCGCGCUUGAGCAUGGGGCCGCCGCAUCUGGCCACCACGCGACACGGGCCGCUCCUUGGCUCGAGCUCAAGGUGGUCAGUGCGACGAGGCGGAGAACAAGGUCUGGGAGGUCGACGGUGCACUUGAGGGCGAGGCGAGGCCCUGGGGCGGCGGGGGCAACAGGAGAGGCAGAGAUGAGAGGAGGCAUCUGCGGUGGCGCGGCGGGGGCAGCAGGAGAGAAGGCAGAGAUGAGAGGAGGUGGCUGUGGUGGCGCGGCGGCGGCAGCAGGAGAGGAGGCGGCGGCGGGGUCGUGGGGGAGUGAAAGGAAUCGAGGAGGAGUUGAGAUAUUUUCAUCUCCGUGA
rnacentral:rRNA from 1 species